CCUAGAGCUGAGUGUAUUGAGCCCCGCCCCCUACAGCAGACUCAUUCCCAGGGACAGCAUCAGGAGAUGGCUAGAGUGGAGCCUCUGAGCCAUGGCCAACUGGAAGCCUCUUUUGCCUGGAGUGAGAGGUACUGCUGGCUGGGAGGAUGCCCCUUUCCCAGAGGCCAGACUAGACCUCAACAGCUUCCAAGUUCCCAGACUCUCAGGAUGGAUCUCAGCCCAGUUACUCCAUCUCACUCAUUCACUAGCUGGUCCUCAGCUUGGAGCCGUUAGUACCCUUCCCACGGGAGUCCGGGGGAGUCUCUGGCUAUCCCCACCCUUCCCAAGGCCAUCCUGGGCAGGGAGCCAAAAACACAAUUUAUGGAAAAAGCAGAGGCCAAAUAUAAAUUAUUUUUUAAACUAACCUCCGGUUAUCUGAUCACCCGGGAUGUCUGCUCAGUGAAGAAAUCCUAAGAGUUAAACAUUUCAAGAAGAGAUAGCGUCACUUCUUUUGGGGGGUGCAGCCAGAGGCAGGGUGUGACCCCAGAAGACUCUCCUCUGCUGAGCCACUUGUGU
rnacentral:lncRNA from 1 species